rnacentral:rRNA from 1 species
UGGGGAAUAUUGCACAAUGGGCGAAAGCCUGAUGCAGCGACGCCGCGUGAGGGAUGACGGCCUUCGGGUUGUAAACCUCUUUCAGCAGGGAAGAAGCGAAAGUGACGGUACCUGCAGAAGAAGCGCCGGCUAACUACGUGCCAGCAGCCGCGGUAAUACGUAGGGCGCAAGCGUUGUCCGGAAUUAUUGGGCGUAAAGAGCUCGUAGGCGGUUAGUCGCGUCUGCUGUGAAAACUCGAGGCUCAACCUCGGGCUUGCAGUGGGUACGGGCUGACUAGAGUGCGGUAGGGGUGACUGGAAUUCCUGGUGUAGCGGUGGAAUGCGCAGAUAUCAGGAGGAACACCGAUGGCGAAGGCAGGUCACUGGGCCGCAACUGACGCUGAGGAGCGAAAGCAUGGGGAGCGAACAGGAUUAGAUACCCUGGUAGUCCAUGCCGUAAACGUUGGGCACUAGGUGUGGGGUCCAUUUCCACGGAUUCCGUGCCGCAGCAAACGCAUUAAGUGCCCCGCCUGGGGAGUACGGCCGCAAGGCUAAAACUUAAAGGAAUUGAC